rnacentral:rRNA from 1 species
UUAAAGGUAUUCCGGUAGACGAUGGGGAUGCGUUCCAUUAGAUAGUAGGCGGGGUAACGGCCCACCUAGUCUUCGAUGGAUAGGGGUUCUGAGAGGAAGGUCCCCCACAUUGGAACUGAGACACGGUCCAAACUCCUACGGGAGGCAGUAGUGAGGAAUAUUGGUCAAUGGGCGAGAGCCUGAACCAGCCAAGUAGCGUGAAGGAUGACUGCCCUAUGGGUUGUAAACUUCUUUUAUAAAGGAAUAAAGUCGGGUAUGCAUACCCGUUUGCAUGUACUUUAUGAAUAAGGAUCGGCUAACUCCGUGCCAGCAGCCGCGGUAAUACGGAGGAUCCGAGCGUUAUCCGGAUUUAUUGGGUUUAAAGGGAGCGUAGAUGGAUGUUUAAGUCAGUUGUGAAAGUUUGCGGCUCAACCGUAAAAUUGCAGUUGAUACUGGAUAUCUUGAGUGCAGUUGAGGCAGGCGGCAUUCGUGGUGUAGCGGUGAAAUGCUUAGAUAUCACGAGGAACUCCGAUUGCGAAGGCAGCCUGCUAAGCUGCAACUGACAUUGAGGCUCGAAAGUGUGGGUAUCAAACAGGAUUAGAUACCCUGGUAGUCCACACGGUAAACGAUGAAUACUCGCUGUUUGCGAUAUACUGCAAGCGGCCAAGCGAAAGCGUUAAGUAUUCCACCUGGGGAGUA